AGAACAAUUCUGUUCUAUGUAGGAAUGCACCUCCUAACAACAAAAUCUGAAGACCCCCACCACAGCCACACACCCACAGGCACAGACAUAGAGCUCAAUGUGCACUGAAGGAAAAUCAGACCAGAACUUGAUGCAGGCAGCCAGGCAGCCUCAGCACCUUCCUCAGCCUAGCCAAUGACCAGGGCAGAUACAUGCUCUCCCAUUUUCCUGGCACUGAGUUGAGACAUCGUUAUCCUGCACUACUAUGGGAACUUGCCUCCACUAGGUACCCCAGGAUCCAAGAGGCACUGGCAGCACUGAAGAGGUUAUUGAGGUCCUGAAAGACAGCAGCACUGCACCUGUAAUGCUGUGCUAUUAGCCACAUUAUAAUCCUUAACAUUACAUAACCUCACUAACCCCAUGGGAGGCAGACACUCUGACCUGCCAGGCCCUGACCUCUGCCUGGAAGCCUAGCCACUGGUGCCAAGACUCUAGAAGGACUCUUAGGCUCUUCAAAGAAGUUGGGGCCUCUGUAUGCAGGAGCUUCACCAAGAAGAAAACUUAGACAAGUCUUCAUUGGUUUUGUUGCUUUAAGCAUUUUUCGGCACUUGUUUGUUUCUGUUGAAUACUUUCUACUCAUGAAGAGUUGUAAGUUCGCUUUCUAAGUUUGUACUCACUGGUUUCUUCUCUCCCUUGUCUGCAAGAUCUUCAAUUUUAAGUAUCUGUUCCUUGAAAUGAAAACAGUAUUUUUAAAAA
ensembl:antisense